rnacentral:rRNA from 1 species
UACGGGGGGGAGCAAGCGUUGUUCGGAUUUACUGGGCGUAAAGGGCGCGUAGGCGGCCUGUGCAAGUCAGUUGUGAAAUCUCCGGGCUUAACUCGGAACGGUCAACUGAUACUGCUCGGCUAGAGUGCGGAAGGGGCAACUGGAAUUCUUGGUGUAGCGGUGAAAUGCGUAGAUAUCAAGAGGAACACCUGCGGCGAAGGCGGGUUGCUGGGCCGACACUGACGCUGAUGCGCGAAAGCUAGGGGAGCGAACGGG